rnacentral:tRNA from 1 species
AGGAUAGGGGUGCAGUGCCAGAUGCCAUUAAUCCCUGGAAGGGAUUGAAACUACGCCGGUUCGAUUCCGGCCCGCCCUGC